AGCUCUUGAAACUGGGAGACUUGAGUGCAGGAGAGGAGAGUGGAAUUCCUAGUGUAGCGGUGAAAUGCGUAGAUAUUAGGAGGAACACCAGUUGCGAAGGCGGCUCUCUGGACUGUAACUGACGCUGGGGCACGAAAGCGUGGGGAGCAAACAGGAUUAGAUACCCUGGUAGUCCACGCUGUAAACGAUGAGUACUAGGUGUCGGGGGUUACCCCC
rnacentral:rRNA from 1 species